UAACAAGGAUUCCCCUAGUAACUGCGAGUGAAGCGGGAAAAGCUCAAAUUUAAAAUCUGGCGGUCUUUGGCCGUCCGAGUUGUAGUCUGGAGAAGUGUUUUCCGUGCUGGACCGUGUACAAGUCUCUUGGAACAGAGCGUCAUAGAGGGUGAGAAUCCCGUCUUUGACACGGACUACCAGUGCUUUGUGAUGCGCUCUCAAAGAGUCGAGUUGUUUGGGAAUGCAGCUCAAAAUGGGUGGUAAAUUCCAUCUAAAGCUAAAUAUUGGCGAGAGACCGAUAGCGAACAAGUACCGUGAGGGAAAGAUGAAAAGCACUUUGGAAAGAGAGUUAAACAGUACGUGAAAUUGCUGAAAGGGAAACGCUUGAAGUCAGUCGCGUUGAUCAGAACUCAGCCUUGCUUUUGCUUGGUGCAUUUUCUGGUUGACGGGCCAGCAUCGAUUUUGACCAUCGGAAAAAGGCUAGGGGAAUGUGGCACCUUCGGGUGUGUUAUAGCCCUUAGUCACAUACGGUGGUUGGGAUCGAGGACCGCAGCACGCCUUUAUGGCCGGGGUUCGCCCACGUUCGUGCUUAGGAUGCUGGCGU
rnacentral:rRNA from 1 species